UACGGGGGGGGCAAGCGUUGUUCGGAAUUACUGGGCGUAAAGGGUUCGUAGGUGGCUGGCUAAGUCAGACGUGAAAUCCCUCAGCUUAACUGGGGAACUGCGUCUGAGACUGGUCGGCUUGAGUGCAGGAGAGGAACGCGGAAUUCCAGGUGUAGCGGUGAAAUGCGUAGAUAUCUGGAGGAACACCGGUGGCGAAGGCGGCGUUCUGGACUGCUACUGACACUGAGGAACGAAAGCCAGGGGAGCAAACGGG
rnacentral:rRNA from 1 species